rnacentral:miRNA from 1 species
GGUCUCACUAUGUAGCUGAGACUGACCUGGAACUCACUAUGUAGCCCAGGCUGGCCUGGAACUCACAGUGAUCCUCCUGCCUCAGAUUCCCGAGUGCUGGGAUUACAGGUGUGCACCACCACGCCC